CCUACGGGUGGCAGCAGUGAGGAAUAUUGGUCAAUGGACGAGAGUCUGAACCAGCCAAGUAGCGUGAAGGAUGACUGCCCUAUGGGUUGUAAACUUCUUUUAUAUGGGAAUAAAAUGUUCCACGUGUGGGAUUUUGUAUGUACCAUAUGAAUAAGGAUCGGCUAACUCCGGGCCAGCAGCCGCGGUAAUACGGAGGAUCCGAGCGUUAUCCGGAUUUAUUGGGUUUAAAGGGAGCGUAGGUGGAUUGUUAAGUCAGUUGUGAAAGUUUGCGGCUCAACCGUAAGAUUGCAGUUGAAACUGGCAGUCUUGAGUACAGUAGAGGUGGGCGGAAUGCGUGGUGUAGCGGUGAAAUGCUUAGAUAUCACGAAGAACUCCGAUUGCGAAGGCAGUUCACUGGACUGCAACUGACACUGAGGCUCGAAAGUGUGGGUAUCAAACAGGAUUAGAUACCCUUGUAGUC
rnacentral:rRNA from 1 species